AAACUCUCCCCCCAAAAAUCCCAAAUUCUCCCCAAAAUCCGCCCCCAAAAUCCCAAAUUCUCCCAAAAUCCCCCCAAAUUCCCCCAAAUUCCACCAAAAUUACCCCCCAAAUCCCCCCAAAAAUCCCAAAUUCCCCCCAAAAUCCCAAAUUCCCCCAAAUUCCCCCCAAAAUCCUCCAGAACCUCCCCAAGCCCCUCCCCUCCCCAGGUGUCAAUCAAGGCCCUGUGCAAAGCCAGGGAGGCGGAGCUGCAGAGGCCACGCCCACACAGAGCUGUCAAUCACUCAGGGGAAGCCCAGGAGGAUCCGGAUUGGCUGGAACAGGCUGAGGCUGUGCUGAUUGGCCACAGCCCGGAGGCCGUGCUGUGGGCGUUGGAGGCCUUGGCCAAUCAGAGCACCAGUGCUCUCCUGGCUGGCCCCGCCCCCUCAGCUGAGGCCCCGCCCACCCUGAGGAGCCUCCUGCAGGAGCGCUGGGGGGCCGUGGGGGGGGUGUGGGGGGGCGCUGCCCCCCCUCCUGUCCCACCUGUCCCACCUGAGGGGACACCUGGGGACGCACCUGGAGCGGGGGAGGGGCACGGAGCCAGCUGCCAGGCUGUUCCUGCUCCGGGUGGGGCUCGCCGCCUUCCGGGGCUCCCUGCGCCGCUCCCUGAGGCUCCUCCAGCCCCAAAACCCCCAAAAUUCACCCCAAAAACAACAAAGCCCCGCCCCCAAAGCCCAAAAACCCCAAAAUCCCCAAAAUUCGGCCCCAAAAUCCCAGGAUUUGGCCUCAAAAUCGGCUCUAAAACCCCAAAAUUCGGACCCAAAAUCUCCAAUUUUGGUUCCAGAAUUCCCAAAUUCGGCCCCAAAACCUCAAAAUCCUCAAAAUUCAGCCCCAAAAUCCCCGGAUUUGGCCCCAAAUUCGGCCCCAAAAUCUCCAAAUUUGGCCCCAAAAUCCCCAAAUUCAGCCCUAAAAUUUGAGAAUUUGGCCCCAAAAUCCCCGGAUUUGGCCCCAGAAUUCCCGGAUUUGGCCCCAAAAUUGGAGCCUUUGGCCCCAAAAUCGCCGGAUUUUGCCCCAAA
rnacentral:lncRNA from 1 species